rnacentral:rRNA from 1 species
ACGCUCGACACCUACGGGAGACAGCAGUGGGGAAUAUUGCACAAUGGAGGAAACUCUGAUGCAGCGAUGCCGCGUGAGGGAAGAAGGUUUUCGGAUUGUAAACCUCUGUCUUUGGGGACGAUAAUGACGGUACCCAAGGAGGAAGCUCCGGCUAACUACGUGCCAGCAGCCGUGGUAAUCUGAGCGGGCUGGCAAGGC